GCGAUACAGGGUGACAGCCCCGUACACAAAAAUGCACAUGCUGUGAGCUCGAUGAGUAGGGCGGGACACGUGGUAUCCUGUCUGAAUAUGGGGGGACCAUCCUCCAAGGCUAAAUACUCCUGACUGACCGAUAGUGAACCAGUACCGUGAGGGAAAGGCGAAAAGAACCCCGGCGAGGGGAGUGAAAAAGAACCUGAAACCGUGUACGUACAAGCAGUGGGAGCACGCUUAGGCGUGUGACUGCGUACCUUUUGUAUAAUGGGUCAGCGACUUAUAUUCUGUAGCAAGGUUAACCGAAUAGGGGAGCCGAAGGGAAACCGAGUCUUAACUGGGCGUUAAGUUGCAGGGUAUAGACCCGAAACCCGGUGAUCUAGCCAUGGGCAGGUUGAAGGUUGGGUAACACUAACUGGAGGACCGAACCGACUAAUGUUGAAAAAUUAGCGGAUGACUUGUGGCUGGGGGUGAAAGGCCAAUCAAACCGGGAGAUAGCUGGUUCUCCCCGAAAGCUAUUUAGGUAGCGCCUCGUGAAUUCAUCUCCGGGGGUAGAGCACUGUUUCGGCAAGGGGGUCAUCCCGACUUACCAACCCGAUGCAAACUGCGAAUACCGGAGAAUGUUAUCACGGGAGACACACGGCGGGUGCUAACGUCCGUCGUGAAGAGGGAAACAACCCAGACCGCCAGCUAAGGUCCCAAAGUCAUGGUUAAGUGGGAAACGAUGUGGGAAGGCCCAGACAGCCAGGAUGUUGGCUUAGAAGCAGCCAUCAUUUAAAGAAAGCGUAAUAGCUCACUGGUCGAGUCGGCCUGCGCGGAAGAUGUAACGGGGCUAAACCAUGCACCGAAGCUGCGGCAGCGACGCUGAUGCGUUGUUGGGUAGGGGAGCGUUCUGUAAGCCUGUGAAGGUGUACUGUGAGGUAUGCUGGAGGUAUCAGAAGUGCGAAUGCUGACAUAAGUAACGAUAAAGCGGGUGAAAAGCCCGCUCGCCGGAAGACCAAGGGUUCCUGUCCAACGUUAAUCGGGGCAGGGUGAGUCGACCCCUAAGGCGAGGCCGAAAGGCGUAGUCGAUGGGAAACAGGUUAAUAUUCCUGUACUUGGUGUUACUGCGAAGGGGGGACGGAGAAGGCUAUGUUGGCCGGGCGACGGUUGUCCCGGUUUAAGCGUGUAGGCUGGUUUUCCAGGCAAAUCCGGAAAAUCAAGGCUGAGGCGUGAUGACGAGGCACUACGGUGCUGAAGCAACAAAUGCCCUGCUUCCAGGAAAAGCCUCUAAGCAUCAGGUAACAUCAAAUCGUACCCCAAACCGACACAGGUGGUCAGGUAGAGAAUACCAAGGCGCUUGAGAGAACUCGGGUGAAGGAACUAGGCAAAAUGGUGCCGUAACUUCGGGAGAAGGCACGCUGAUAUGUAGGUGAAGCGACUUGCUCGUGGAGCUGAAAUCAGUCGAAGAUACCAGCUGGCUGCAACUGUUUAUUAAAAACACAGCACUGUGCAAACACGAAAGUGGACGUAUACGGUGUGACGCCUGCCCGGUGCCGGAAGGUUAAUUGAUGGGGUUAGCGCAAGCGAAGCUCUUGAUCGAAGCCCCGGUAAACGGCGGCCGUAACUAUAACGGUCCUAAGGUAGCGAAAUUCCUUGUCGGGUAAGUUCCGACCUGCACGAAUGGCGUAAUGAUGGCCAGGCUGUCUCCACCCGAGACUCAGUGAAAUUGAACUCGCUGUGAAGAUGCAGUGUACCCGCGGCAAGACGGAAAGACCCCGUGAACCUUUACUAUAGCUUGACACUGAACAUUGAGCCUUGAUGUGUAGGAUAGGUGGGAGGCUUUGAAGUGUGGACGCCAGUCUGCAUGGAGCCGACCUUGAAAUACCACCCUUUAAUGUUUGAUGUUCUAACGUUGACCCGUAAUCCGGGUUGCGGACAGUGUCUGGUGGGUAGUUUGACUGGGGCGGUCUCCUCCUAAAGAGUAACGGAGGAGCACGAAGGUUGGCUAAUCCUGGUCGGACAUCAGGAGGUUAGUGCAAUGGCAUAAGCCAGCUUGACUGCGAGCGUGACGGCGCGAGCAGGUGCGAAAGCAGGUCAUAGUGAUCCGGUGGUUCUGAAUGGAAGGGCCAUCGCUCAACGGAUAAAAGGUACUCCGGGGAUAACAGGCUGAUACCGCCCAAGAGUUCAUAUCGACGGCGGUGUUUGGCACCUCGAUGUCGGCUCAUCACAUCCUGGGGCUGAAGUAGGUCCCAAGGGUAUGGCUGUUCGCCAUUUAAAGUGGUACGCGAGCUGGGUUUAGAACGUCGUGAGACAGUUCGGUCCCUAUCUGCCGUGGGCGCUGGAGAACUGAGGGGGGCUGCUCCUAGUACGAGAGGACCGGAGUGGACGCAUCACUGGUGUUCGGGUUGUCAUGCCAAUGGCACUGCCCGGUAGCUAAAUGCGGAAGAGAUAAGUGCUGAAAGCAUCUAAGCACGAAACUUGCCCCGAGAUGAGUUCUCCCUGAC
rnacentral:rRNA from 1 species